rnacentral:rRNA from 1 species
GGCGGCAGAGUGAUCGCCCAGGGCUACACGGUGCUUGAUGAGCGACGGCAUGCGGUGGACUACCGCCUCAGCGUGUGGGGGGACUACUUUAUCCGCAACCCGACGCUCCCCCAUACUCAUCAGAACUCAAUAGAAUGGAUGACUGAAAGACGCGACAAGCUAGUACUCAAAGCAAGGGACAAGUUACUCACCUUAUGUGAUCCAUUGGCUGAGCUGAAGAUGAUUGAUGCACUCCAGCGUCUUGGAGUUUCUUGCCAUUUCAAAGAGGAAAUCGAUUUGAAACUACAUAAGCUUUCCUCACAGAAGUUUGACUGUGAGAACCUUCAUGUCAUCUCCCUUCAGUUUAGGUUGCUGAGGCAAGACGGAUGUUACAUGUCUUCAGAUGUAUUCCAGAGCUUUAUGGAAAACGAGGAAAAUUUUGAGGCCACAAUGCAAAGUGAUGUACGAGCUCUACUUGCACUUUAUGAGGCAGCUCAUCUUGGCACACCAAAUGAGCAAUUUCUCAAAGAUGCCCAAAAGAAAACAACGAGUCUGCUAAAAUCAAAGGUUGGCCAUCUUGAAAAACCACUUGCAGAUAAAGUGAAACAUGCUCUUGAGACACCAUGCUUCCGUAGGAUGAAGAUAUUGGAGGCUAGGUUGUAUAUCCCUCUAUACCAAGAAGAUAAGGAGGAAUGCAAUGAAACACUUCUUGAACUUGCGAAACUGAAUUUUUAUCUUCUUCAAGGCCUUUACCGGGAAGAAGUCAACAAAAUAUGCGAGUGGUAUUAUGAAAAGGAAUCCUCAUGGAAAUUAUUCUAUGCACGCCAUAGACCAGCAGAAGCAUACUUUUGGGCACUUGGAGUGUAUUAUGAACCACAAUAUGCCAAGGCCAGAAAGUUUUUAGCAAAAUUUAUAGCAACAAUUACACCAUAUGAUGACACUUUUGACAAUUAUGGCGUAUGGGAAGAGCUGCGACCUUUUGCUGAUGUCAUGCAAAGGUGGGACAUGCAGGAUGUUGACCAACUCGGGGAAUGCUACAAAGACUAUGCACGGUUUAUGUUUGGCACCAUGAUUGAAAUAGAGAAUGCACUUCCAAAAGACAUAGCAACGAGAAAUGUUAACUUUAUCAAAAAUAUCAUUAAUGAAGUAUGCAAAGGCUAUUUGACUGAAAUUAUUUGGAGAGAUAACAAUUACAUACCACCCUUGGAAGAGCAUAUGAAGGUUACACUCAUUACAUGCUUUUAUUGUGCUAUUAGUUGCACUGCUUUUGUUGUAUUUGAAGAGAACAUUACAGAGGAGGUUCUACAAUGGAUGUCUAAGUUUCCACAAAUUGUCAAGGAUUCUUGUAUUGUAUCACGACUAAUGGACGAUAUUGUUGCCCAUGAGUUUGAAACAGAAAGAAAUAAUGUUGCCACUGCUGUAACUUGCUACAUGAAGGAGUAUGGGACAACAAAAGAGGUGGCAAGUGAAGCACUUUGGGAAGUUGUGGAGAAUGCAUGGAAAGAUAUGAACAAGGAGUUUCUCAGCGUGACUGAUAUACCAUCUUCGCUGCUUAUCCGUGUAAUAAACCUCGCAGGGAUGAUGGAGACAAUGUAUAAGGAGAUUGAUGGGUACACAGACUCGGCGAUACUGAAAAAUCGGAUAUCUUUAUUACUUGAGCAGCCAAUGACAUUCUAG